rnacentral:lncRNA from 1 species
UUCAAAUUUCUUUCCCCCUAUCUCCUUCUCAACCACUGGCCUUCUCAACCACUGGUGUUCUCAACCACCGGCGUUCUCGAUCAACUCCCCCAAUCUCGUUCGUCGUAAUACUCCAGUCCAGUGCGGCAAGUCCAGGUAAGUGCUAACUAGCUAGUUUCAUCUGAUUUUCAUUGGUGUGCGUGUUUUUUUUUGGUGUGAUUUUCUUUUCUUUUACCGUAUUGCAGACUUGCAUCUUUUUUGUUUUUUAAUGAUUUUGGUACUUGUGGCUGGUUUUAAAUGGUUUAAUACUGUAAUGGAUGGUUUAAUCCUAGUAUCUUUGAGAUUAGAAAUAGCAGUACAAUAAUUAGAGACCACAUAUGUUCUUUGUCCCUUGGCGAUUCCGACGAAAGAAAAGAUAAAGAGAAAAAAACUAUUUAAUUGAGGCAGAAGAUGCAGGCCGAACUAAAGUCAAUGCUUGUUUUGUUAUUUUAUUUUUUUAAUCCUCAUUUAAAUAUAAGUUAGGGUGUUAGUAGUAGCAUUAUCCACACCACUCGAUCACUACCCAAUCCUCAAAAGUAGGGCAUUCUGCAUAUUUGUUUGAAUUAUUUACAACAUUCAUUUUCUUGAUCAUUAUCCAAGGUUCAUGGGUUCUAGAUAAGUAUGAACACUAUGGUCAGAAAUUUGAUCCUUUGUUAAUAGAGAUGGAUGGUGAUUAUCGGGAUAUGAUUUUAAAUUAUUAUCGAUGUACUCGUCUUGGUCUAUCAGUAUGCAUGUCUGUUUUUUCCCACUCGCCAUCUUCCACUCUCCAUCAUUAAUUAAAUUAGCUCUUUUAGAGGAAGUUGGCGAUGAUGAUUUAUUUUUCGACCGGGCUGUUUUGGUUUAGUUUUUUUUUUAAGCUUUUAAAUUUCUUUUUCAAUUGAUUUAGAGUUGAUUAGUAUGCUUUGGUUUAGUUUUGGUUUAGUUUUGUUUUGGUUUAGAGUUGAUUUAUCUAAGUAUCUUCCUCAUUUUUCAUUUCUUAUUUUUAUUUUUCUUUCUUGAUCUUUGUAAUCAGGACACUGCUCUUCAUUUUUAUUACUGAAAAAAAUUAAUUGGUUCUUGAUUACUGAAGAAAAUCAGGACACUGCUCUCCAAGAAUAAUGUAAAAUUACUAUUUAUAAUUUGAAUGAAAUAAUUUGUAAAAUUUAUUUUAAAUGUUAUGAUUAGAUUUCUAAAUUUGGUCAAUUUAAUUCAUGUCUGUUUUUUAAAUAUUUCUGAUUUUGUUUCAUAGUUUAACAUGUUGAUGUUCACAAGUAAUUUCAUAGUUUUAAUUCAUAAUUUUUUUAGUGCCUAAUUAUGGAUUUCUUAUAUAUUCUUUGUGAGUAAUUUUUUUAUUUUAUUUAUUUUUCUGUUUUUAUUGAUUUUAAGUGCUGAAUAUUUUGUUGUAUUCCCAGAUUAUAAAUGGUACCCAAAAAAACAUUGGUUAGUAAGAAACGACGAUUUACACGAAGUUUUGUCGACCAUGAAGAACCUACUUUAAGUACUCAUGUUCCGACUGCAACUUCGACUUCAACUCGAGUUUCAACUUCAACUCCUCAAAUUCUAACUCCAAUUCCGAAUCCAACUCCAACUCCAACUCCAACUCAAAUUCGAACUCCAACUCCUCAAGGUUCGAGUACUCCAACUACUCAAGUACCAAUAGCAAUGGGUGAAUCUAAUUCCGACUCCGACUCGGACCUCGGGGAUAAUGAUGGUAACUAACUAAUUAUAAUCGAUG